rnacentral:lncRNA from 1 species
CACAUCGCCCCCCUCCCACCCCCGCAACCAUCUGAAGGAAAUAGACUGCAGCACUGAUUGGCUGACUUUGGCUGUGCAUGCUUAUGAGGCCCUAAAAACUGCACACCUUAAAGAGAAACUUAGAAACUGCUUCUUGCAGAACUAUUGCUACAGGGCCAUCAGCAUGUGACACUAGGAGACUGUGCCAUGUCAUCCUUAUGUGGGUCUGGGUCACAGCCGCCCAUCUGCUGUGCUCCCUGGCUGCCUCUUUUGUGAAAAAGAAGGUGAGGAGGACCAGCGAGGAGACACGCCCACUCCAGGGGAACACCUCCUCCCACAGGCUCAUAGGAGGAAUGGACUUGCCUUGUCUCAGCUCGAAUUCUCUCUCCUGCCACCCUGAGAAGAGGUGCCUUCCACCAUGAUUGCACUCCCUCCAAGACAGACUUCUCUGUGGAAGCAGCAUAUUGGAGGCCUGCUAGGACAGUUCACAGGAAUGGCUGUGGAGGGCUGCAGGCAUGUCUCUAAUCAGAACCUGCUUGUCUUUUUGAUUGACAGCUGCACUUUCUCCACCAAGAAGUGGGUACUGUGCAAGUUAUGGUCAUAGUGAAGGUGGGGGACAUGGAGAUGAUCCCGAAUGAGCUGCAUAGGCCUCAUCGAAUCAGUGGAAAGCCUUGAGAACAGAGCCAAAGUUUCUCUGAGGAAGGGGAAAUUCUACCUGUAGACAGCAGCUUCAGUUCCUGCUGCAGUUUCCAGCCUGCCCUUCCUGAUGUCCUUCCCUGUGGAUUCCAGAUUUGCCAGCCAGUCCUCAUAGCCACAUAAGCCAAUUGCUUGUAAUAAAUCUCCUAGUGUUAAUGAUCCUUUAAUAAUAUACAUAUAAAUAAUAUAUCCUAGUAUUAAUAAAUCAAUCUCCCUCUCUCCAUCUCUCUCUCUCUCUCUCUCUCUCUCUCUCACACACACACACACACACACACACACACACACACACACGUCUUACUAGUUCUACUUCUCUGGUGGAACCUUGACUGAUAUAGAUGAGUAACCAGAAAAAAUUUAACGUGGAGAGGGGGCUUGACCAGAUGUUUUACCAAUCUGUAUAGACAACUUUCCAAAAUGUGGUCAGUCAGGACACAGUCAUCAGUAGUCUAAUCAGGUGGACUUAACUAUCUAAGGCCAAAGCACAGCCAGCCAGUGUCAUAGAUCUGGAUGGCACAAUCAGUAUAGCAGCUGUCCAGAACACAGCUGACCAGGCAGGAUGGAUUAAAGCCACAAUGUAGAAGACAAGAUGAAGACAGGCAAUUGUCCUGGACGUGGCUGUCCAAGAAGACAGUCAUGGGGGAAAUGGCCAGUGUUUCCCAGGAUCUGAGUGGCCAGUCCAUAGUCAUGAGGCUAAAACCAAAAAGGAUUCACUGUCCACGACACUAUGGCCAAGAACAUAGUUCUCAAGGGCAAAGCCAGUGUAGACAGAGCGGAUAGGACAUCAAUGACCAAGAACAAGUCCCAAGGAUGCACAGCCAAUGCCAACAUGUAGAUGGUUCUAAACUGUACAGGAUACUCAUGGCCAUGCAUAACCUUGAGGGAAGUGUCCUUGAGACAGCCACCAUGUGUACUUGUGCUAGAGGUAGGCUGUGGUUUAUUUUUCUCAUUUAUCCAAGAAGCUAUUUUUGUUCAUUAAAACCUAGUUACUUGCUGUAUCUAGCCAGGAUCCUGGAGUGCUCGCUUGGUUAAUUUAAGCAAGCAGAGCUUUGACAAAGUAAUUUUAUUGUCCUCUGGGAUUGGCCAGCUUAUGCCAAGCCUCACUCUUUCUGUUGAAAUGGAGUUAAUUUUCGCUGAAAUUGCUUCUUAGCAGACAAACAUAUUCCCCAUCAUUGAGGGCUUAUGCUUCUGCAGCUCUAUUAUUCCUUAAUUUACACACUCGGCAGCAUAGGAUCCAUGCCCAAGACAGACAGAGACUCCUGCAGGUGGAGGAAGGCGGAGAAGACGGCAGCCCCUGUUCAGCUCCUCAUACCUGGUUAGAAUUAGCCGUUAGCAAUUAGUCAUCAAUCAUCCAAUCAGUCUGUGCAGCCAGAGCCCCCAGUGUGCCCAGCUCUGUGCCAACCACAGCAAGAGGAUGCAAGGAGGAGGGGUUCCCUGUCUGAAGAACCCAGUUUAUUUGGGGAGGUGAGACUCAGACAUGGGACUCAGAAUUGACACAACACAAUAUUAGCUCAGACUUUGGCUCUGGUCCAAGACAUGGAAUAAUGGAGCGACUUGCUGAUGGGACAUGAAAAGAUGGAACGGUCUGAAAAAGAAGGAAAGAGAAUGGCCCUUGGAGGGGACCUGUCAUAGAGGAGCCCUGAAACUUCUGGUAAACCUUCAGGGAGGGGCUGCAAAAGUGGGCAGAAUAGGAUGGACUGGGUAAAUGGGUCUAGGAGGAGCACAGUGGCAAUCAGUGUUCUUCAGAGUAAGGAAGGACAGGAAGUGUUCAGGACAGGGCAAAGGCCAGGACUGGGGUCAAGACCAUGACAAUUAAGCCAGCAUCUGAGUCACUAUCAUUGCUGGCCUUAGAGUCAUGAAGGGCAUUCAAGGUGAGAUCAAGGCUAGAGGAAGGGCAGCUUGGCCCACAGCUGAUGUCAUGGCCAGCACCACGGAGAGCUCCCGUAGGUUCUGGUGCCUCCCACACCCAGUGGGCAUAAAUAUUCAGAUCCCAGUUGUAGAAGCAGAAAUAAGUAAGCCCAUGUUCUUUCAUUCAGCCUUGGCUAGGAAAUAUAACUGAAGCAGAAGACAUGGGCUUUGCCUAGCAGCUAAUGAAGAACCUUGAAAAAAAAAAGGGAGUCUGUUGACACAGAUGCUUUGAGAAGACAAGCAAUAAGCUAGCCAUUACAUCUUGUUAGAUGGAUUAGGAGAACACUGGGGAAUAUUUGCAUACCAAUUACCAUAAAAUUUGAGUUCAAUCUAUACUUAUUUUAUGACUUGCCUUCAGAAAGUUGAGUUUCUGUGUACAUCUGUUUGCUAAGAAGAUUCAUUUUCCUGUAAUAUUGAAAUUUUUGUCAUAAUAGUUUCAAAAAGUGUUGACUUGUAACAUUAACAUUGAAGAUUAAAAAUGUUUAUUAAAAAAAGCAUUUGUUAAAAUGUUUG